UACGAAGGGGGCUAGCGUUGUUCGGAUUUACUGGGCGUAAAGCGCGCGUAGGCGGAUCGUUAAGUCGGGGUGAAAUCCUGGAGCUCAACUCCAGAACUGCCUUCGAUACUGGCGAUCUCGAGUCCGGAAGAGGUGAGUGGAACUCCUAGUGUAGAGGUGGAAUUCGUAGAUAUUAGGAAGAACACCAGUGGCGAAGGCGGCUCACUGGUCCGGUACUGACGCUGAUGUGCGAAAGCGUGGGGAGCGAACAGG
rnacentral:rRNA from 1 species